rfam:Gossypium raimondii Chr11_contig_1321, whole genome shotgun sequence.
AAUAGUUUUAUGUCACCAUUUUCAUCCUGAAUUUCAGCAUUUUCAUCCUGAAAUAAAUCAAAUCCAAAUUAAAAUCUUGAAAUUCAGGAUAAAAUUACUAAUGUGGCAUAAAACUAUU